GGAAAUCAUUUCCAGGGAGAGCAUUUCCACCAAUAUGAGACAAUUAACAGAAUCAUGUUUUUCUAGCAAACAUGUUAAACCAGAGUGCAAUCCAAAGCAAUUUCCAGCCAUUAUAAAAAAAAAGCCUAGAAUGGCAAUGCGACUCCAGGAAAUAGUCCAUAACAUGGUGGGCCGAUGGGGGUUCAAGAUGUCAUUGGAAAAUGUCCUAUCACAGGGGGACAUGAGAAGUAGGACGCAGCAGAGGCAGCAUAAUGUCGCCUCCUGCCAACAAACAUGAAGGAAGUCUACAAGGAAUUAGAGGAUGUUGCAAGAUAUCACAUAUGCACACUCACACACAAACACACACGCUGAAUGUGAUAUCUCCCACCAAGUGUCACAUACUUUAUUCUAGUCAUGGAACAUGCUCACCCUGCACGCACACACACACUUGUUGUGACAGCUUGUUAUAUUUGAGGUUAGCGGUCCUGUAGUGAAUUGUAAUUGAUUUAUGCUGAUGGGUAGUUUGGGGAUUUCUCUGUCCUGUUUUUUUUUUUUUCCCUUUCAAACACGCACACACACACACACACACACACACACACACACACACACACACACACACACCACCCAUGUGAUGCUCCACCUGUGUGUUCUCACAGUUUCAUUUCCAUAUUCAUGGCUAAGCUGUGAUUUGAGGUGCAGGCCGAGGUGAAUAGAUAACUUAUCAAAGCCGAGCGUCGGGAGCUGUGAGGUGUGUGUUUACUGUGUUGUAUAGUCAUACAGACACAGUGUCCCUAAGCUCCUGAUUCUCCAACCUCAGCUGGAAUAUAAAGCAGGACAGAACGGUGGCAGUGGACCCUCCUGAGAGAGAAAGGAUGGAGAGAGUCCGGUUCACUCCAAGCACCACACACUCAUUAGAUUCUCAUUCACACAUGAUAGUAGCCUGGAGAAUUUGAAAACGCACUCACCGGCUCCCAUACAAGUAAGGCUGUCCCCAGAAACUCUCUCUCUCUCUCACACACACACACAUUAGGUCCCAUUUUCAAAUUCAUGAUGGAUGUAGCAUUUCUCUGCAUGAAUAUGGAUGUGUUUGCAGGGCGUUCCAGCGUGGAGCAUUUUCCAUUUCCAAUCUCUUCCACCUUAUAACUGUAGAUAGAUUUCUUCACUCUGUAAUUUGGCUGUUGAAAACACCCAUGAGGCACGGGGAGAAAUAAGAGUCCAAACACACACACACACACUCACACACAGACAGACUCUCUCUCCCCAUUAAAGGUGGAGGUAUUCAAACACACUCGCUUUGUGAAAACUGUGAUAAAAACGUCAUUUUUAGAGGGGCACUGGUGAUAAUGAUUCAAAUCACUUUAUGGGACUGAGGCUGUUUAACAGAGUGGUGCUCAGCUCCAGGCAUGUGUGUGCUUGUGUUUGUAUAUGUGUGCAUUUUGAACAAGCAUAUAUAUUUUUGAGGGCUUUCUUAAAGCAUGAAGUUCUUUGUUGUUGGUUCAGCUCGGCUUUGAUAGCUGUGGCAACUCUUAUAAAAUGCACACUUAGUGAGAGAUAACACACACUCUCCAUACUGUAAAUAAUACAUACCUCAUCCCUCCAAAUCAAUUCUCAUCACUGCCUUUGAGAUGUAAUCAAGGUCUAUCUGCCCUUGCAGAUAUUUUGGGAUGUUUGUAUUAUUUAUUAGUGUACUUAUAACUAAUCCACAAAGAGCUUUUCAGGCUUAUGCAAUUGUAUAAGUUUGCUUAAGGGUGUUUUUCCUCUUCUGCCAUCUUUCUUUUGUGUGUUUGUUGACACAGAUGAUUUGACCAAAUAAUUCUUCCAGACCACGCCUGGAGAAGAUAUUAUUUGUCCAUCUGCAGAAGCUCAGCAUAGUCAGAACAGAAUUCGCCUGAGCCAGAAGUGUGGCAUUUGGAUGAUCCAACCAUUUCAAUGUCAAUAUCCAAAAUAAGACAGCAACUGCCUACAAAAACAGUCAAGUUAAAUUGAGUUACAGGAUGGUAGCUGCCCAAAUCACAAUGCAUUUACGGCCAAUUU